rnacentral:rRNA from 1 species
UCUGGUGAUUAUGCCGGAGGGGUUCCACCCGUUCCCAUACCGAACACGGAAGUUAAGACCUCCAGGGCC